CCUACAACUGCACGUACGGAUUAUUGGGCGUAAGAGCUCGUAGGCGGUUUGUCGCGUCUGCUGUGAAAGACCGGGGCUCAACUCCGGUUCUGCAGUGGGUACGGGCAGACUAGAGUGCAGUAGGGGAGACUGGAAUUCCUGGUGUAGCGGUGAAAUGCGCAGAUAUCAGGAGGAACACCGAUGGCGAAGGCAGGUCUCUGGGCUGUAACUGACGCUGAGGAGCGAAAGCAUGGGGAGCGAACAGGAUUAGAUACCCUGGUAGUCCAUGCCGUAAACGUUGGGCACUAGGUGUGGGGGACAUUCCACGUUUUCCGCGCCGUAGCUAACGCAUUAAGUGCCCCGCCUGGGGAGUACGGCCGCAAGGCUAAAACUCAAAGGAAUUGACGGGGGCCCGCACAAGCGGCGGAGCAUGCGGAUUAAUUCGAUGCAACGCGAAGAACCUUACCAAGGCUUGACAUGAACCGGUAAUACCUGGAAACAGGUGCCCCGCUUGCGGUCGGUUUACAGGUGGUGCAUGGUUGUCGUCAGCUCGUGUCGUGAGAUGUUGGGUUAAGUCCCGCAACGAGCGCAACCCUCGUUCUAUGUUGCCAGCGCGUUAUGGCGGGGACUCAUAGGAGACUGCCGGGGUCAACUCGGAGGAAGGUGGGGACGACGUCAAAUCAUCAUGCCCCUUAUGUCUUGGGCUUCACGCAUGCUACAAUGGCCGGUACAAAGGGUUGCGAUACUGUGAGGUGGAGCUAAUCCCAAAAAGCCGGUCUCAGUUCGGAUUGGGGUCUGCAACUCGACCCCAUGAAGUCGGAGUCGCUAGUAAUCGCAGAUCAGCAACGCUGCGGUGAAUACGUUCCCGGGCCUUGUACACACCGCCCGUCAAGUCACGAAAGUUGGUAACACCCGAAGCCGGUGGCCUAACCCUUGUGGGGGGAGCCGUCGAAGGUGGGACCGGCGAUUGGGACUAAGUCGACA
rnacentral:rRNA from 1 species